UGCAAAGAGAUACUUUAUGAUCCAAUUCCACUAGGCUGUUUAAAACUAGUAUUGGCUGGGUGCGGUGGCUCACGCCUGUAAUCCAGACACUUUGGGAGGCCACAGUUGAAGGAUCGCUUAAGCACAAAAGUUCAAUACAGUCAAGAUAUAACCUCAUUAUUAGGUUUCAUUUGCAUUUCACUAAGGAAAUUGCCUCUGGGAUGUUGGAGGACCC
rnacentral:lncRNA from 1 species